AUGGAGAGCGGCGACUAGGCGGCUAUGGAGAGGUACAGCGUCCAGUUGCGCCCAGCCACACUGCAGGACGCCGCCCCCGCCACACUACACCUGAUACCCUGCGGCCCACCACGGUGUGGCGCUUCAUCACGCCUGCCAUCCGCCAGGGCCCCGAGGGACUCUUAAGUGUAGUUUCGGGGCCGCAGUCUACGGGGCGACGAGGUGGCAGUGCCGUCCGGCCUCGUGGGAUACGUGAUGGUGACUGAACAGGAGGAGGUGUCGAUGGGGAAGCCAGACCCCUGGCGGGGUUCCGGGAGUGACAACCAAGAAGAGGAACCUCUGGAGCGGGACUUUGACCGCUUCCUCGGAACCACUACCAGCUUCAGCCGCUUCACCCUGUAGGGCAUGGGGCUUCACCCUGUGGGGCACCCUGUGGGGCUUCCUUGGCCCGGAAGCCAAACUGCGUGGGGCCUUAACUUGGCCCAGCCUCGCGGCAACGAUUCACGCGCAGGUGCCCAAGGAC
rnacentral:lncRNA from 1 species